CCUGGUCCAGAAACCCCACGUGUGUGACCCUAGGCUCGUUUCUGUGCUCAGCUCUCCACUUGGAGUCACAUAUUGAAGAGAGAGGAGCCACAGGUUGGAGGAGCCCUGAAUAUUGCUUGGAGGAGCACCGCCCACAGGAAUAAAUUGAAGAACUAAAUCCUCUAAAGAAACAUUGACCAAAAAAGAGAAGAAAAGAUGAAAAAUGUGUGAUAUUUUCUGAACAGUGGAAUUAACCCUCAGCAAUUGAAAAGAUGAGCCAAGAGCUGUGGCCAAGUAGCACAUGAAAGAAAGAUGGAGGAUUUCUAAACACCCAUUCAAGGCAACAUUCCUCACCAUAUUUCAAAUUCCAGAUGGGUGCUGUUGACAUCCGGGUCAUCAAAUGAGCAGGUCAGCAAGUGCUGAGGUCCAUCCACUUCCAGCUGACUGUAGCACGAGAAGGAGUAGUCGUCCGGCUCUGCGUCGUCAAAGUCUCCUGGGAAGGAACAAACCUACAGCUGUUAAUGGAGCCAAGAAAUGCUUCUUUUUGAAAUCUGGAGCGAUGUUGAUGAAAUGGCAGCCUUUUGUGGCAGAUGUGAAAGAGUGACGAUUGUUUAUCUGAAGAAGGAAAGCCGGAGGGCAGAGGCAAUAAAUUGGAUUAAAAAAAAAAUCGACACAAAACCUAGCGAGCACAGAUUUUUGCUGAUAGAAAAGAGUUAUCACGAUGAAUACAUAGCCAGAAAGAUUUCCAAAUAUCUCUGCCAUUGAGUGCAUUAGAGCUCUAGAGUGAAAUAAUAAACAUACACUUUCUUUUGUAUACA